AUACGUAGGGGGCAAGCGUUGUCCGGAAUGAUUGGGCGUAAAGGGCGCGUAGGCGGCUCGGUAAGUCUGGAGUGAAAUUCCUGCUUUCAAGGUGGGAACUGCUUUGGAUACUGUCGGGCUUGAGUGCAGGAGAGGUAAGUGGAAUUCCCGGUGUAGCGGUGAAAUGCGUAGAGAUCGGGAGGAACACCAGUGGCGAAGGCGACUUACUGGACUGUAACUGACGCUGAGGCGCGAAAGUGUGGGGAGC
rnacentral:rRNA from 1 species